rnacentral:rRNA from 1 species
CCUACGGGAGGCAGCAGUGGGGAAUAUUGCACAAUGGGGGAAACCCUGAUGCAGCGACGCCGCGUGAGUGAAGAAGUAUUUCGGUAUGUAAAGCUCUAUCAGCAGGGAAGAAAAUGACGGUACCUGAUUAAGAAGCCCCGGCUAACUACGUGCCAGCAGCCGCGGGAAUACGUAGGGGGCAAGCGUUAACCGGAUUUACUGGGUGUAAAGGGAGCGUAGACGGCAGCACAAGUCUGGAGUGAAAUGCCAGGGCUUAACCCCGGUACUGCCUUGGAAACUGUGCAUCUAGAGUGCAGGAGAGGUAAGUGGAAUGCCUAGUGUAGCGGUGAAAUGCGUAGAUAUUAGGCGGAACACCAGUGGCGAAGGCGGCAUACUGGACUGUAACUGACGUUGAGGCUCGAAAGCGUGGGGAGCAAACAGGAUUAGAUACCCCAGUAGUC